CGGACGGGUGAGUAAUGUCUGGGAAACUGCCUGAUGGAGGGGGAUAACUACUGGAAACGGUAGCUAAUACCGCAUAACGUCGCAAGGCCAAAGAGGGGGACCUUAGGGCCUCUUGCCAUCGGAUGUGCCCAGAUGGGAUUAGCUAGUAGGUGGGGUAACGGCUCACCUAGGCGACGAUCCCUAGCUGGUCUGAGAGGAUGACCAGCCACACUGGAACUGAGACACGGUCCAG
rnacentral:rRNA from 1 species